rnacentral:lncRNA from 1 species
GCCGAAGGGAAGGUUCCCUCAGGUGUUCCAGGGCCUGGUAGAGCUGUUGGUUGUCCUUCUCCCACACAACCUCUGCUUAAGCUGGUUGCCCUGAGCCACUUUAUAAGCUGUGCUGCUGGAGCCCUUGCUGCUCAACCUUCCUUCCUUGUGUUGCUUCUGCUCUCGGCAAAGUAUUUUUAAAAGUCUCCAGGUAGGGAGAAAGCUCAGCACAGGUGGGCCUUUGGAAGCAUGGCUCUGAGUACUGCCUGCUCUCCUUACGUUAAUUUUCCUCAGGUUUUUUAAUGUUCUAUCACAAGAGGCUGUCCAGCUGGAAGGUGCUUGGAACCAGAUUUUAGGAUGUUGUGUUUCAGUAGUGUUAAUAGUUAAUUAUACAAAGCUAAAGGAAUUGUGCUGUGAUGAGAUGAUGCUUAAAUUGUUUACAUGUAUGUUUGUGGUUUCACACCAGUAGUUAAUACUUUGUACCCUGGGUAGCUCGCAAAAUAAAAUGCCUGAUAACAGCAGAAUGCCAAGAUGUAGUAACCCCUUGGAGGCAAAAUUUAGGGCAAUACAAUUGCAUAACUAAGGCUGACCCUCAGGGAGUGAUCUCUAUAUAUUGUGAAGUUUUAAGUAGGCCAGGUGAUGUCUUCAAAAAACUAUGUGAAGGGUAAAGUAAAAUAGUGAGUAGAGAUGGGUUGACUGCACAUUCCCUUUGCUGUUUUUGCUCUUCUUUCUGUGCUCACUGUGCUGAAUGUGUUUAUUUUGGAGCACCAUGACACAGCGCAUAACACUGUGACAAAUGAAGUGCUGAUGUGAAAAUAAUAAUUGCAUAUAAAAUAUGGUCGUACUUAUGUUGCCAAAGAGAAGAUUCAGAACCACGUUGAUGUUGUUUUUCAGGCAUUUGCUGUUUGGCUCACAAUAGCUCCGCACUUUGCCAGGGAAAUGCAAAUCAAUCCUGCCAAGUUCAAGCUUCUGUUGGAAAAGGAACUGCCUUGUCAUUGUUGCCCUGUUUAUGGGAGUCUGAGCUGGUCUAAGGCUAGCAAAGGAUACCUGAACAGUUUCUGGAGAAACCUGGAAUCUUGAAAUUCAGUACUGGUCCGAAAACGCUAAGAGGAAUGGGGAAUCUCUUAAAUGGAAGGCUGCUCGGGAAACUAAAUAAAUAAAGGGUGACCAUGAAGUUCA